UGACACUGAGGACAGUCAUUGCCUGCCCUCAAGGAGAUUGAAGUUUAAGUCAGACAACUUUGAAACCAACAGAUAAAAGGAAACCCAGACAACAGAGCCAGUAUUGAACAAGGACGGAGAUGACUACUACAGGGAUACAAAAAGCUUCAGGGGUGACAAGUAUCUGAAUUCCACUAAAUGUAUAGUUCAGAUCUUUCUUCCUGUCUAGCAUUUGGUAUUUCCAAUAACUUGAACCAACAGAGAUGCUAGUAACAUUUGCAUGGAUUCCUUUUACCGAUUUUCAUAUGCCCCAGAAAUGUACCAUUCCAUGUUAAAAAGGUGGAAAUCCAAAGAACUCUUACCUUUAU